rnacentral:rRNA from 1 species
AUGGAGAGGGGCCGCGGCCACGGCAAGAGCACGCACCCGCCCCCGCUCGCGCCGCCGCGCCGGGCGCGGGCGGAGCGCGGGCGCGCGUCCGGGUCCAGCGCGUCCUUCUCGGCCUCCCUCCUCGACACCAUCUACCGCUCCCUCGACGAUGGCGGCGGCGCCGACGUCGACGCCGCGCGCCGGUCGGAGGAGCAGGCGCUGGCGCCCGCGCCGCCGCAGUUCUGGUGGGCGGGCAAGCCGAAGCAGGCCGCGGGCGCGGGCGCUGACAGGCGCCGCCUCGAGACGGGCCCGGCGGUUCGCCCGCGGCACUCCGGGUACGCGUCGUCCGCCACCUCGUCGUCCGACUCCACCUCCAGCUACAGCUUUUCCUGCUCGUCCGCCUCCACCACCGACACUGAGUCCACGUGCCGCCGGCGCAGCCCGCCCCCGCCGCGCCGCCAGCUGGAGGAGUUCGUCGCCCCGGACAGUGCGGACGUGGCCGCGCCAGUGACGACGCCCGGCGAGAAGGCGAAGAAGAAGGGCAGGCCGUGUUUCCCUGUGGCGAGGCACCGGCCAAGAGACGUUGCGCCGUCCUCGCCCGGGCCGCCGCCGCCGUCGCCGGGGACGUUCGCGUGCGUCCUCAAGGCGCUGUUCACCUCCGGCCGCCUCCCGAGGAAGCCCAGGACCCCGACGCGCGCCACGCCUCCGCGGACGUUGCCGGAGCUACCACAGCCAUCGUGCGUGUCGGCCGCGACGGACGCGAGCAUGGCGGAGAGGAGGUGCGUGAGGUUCUGCUCGGACGCCGAGGCGUCGGCUGUGCGGCGCAGGGUGGAGGAGCUGGUGCGGAGCCUCGGGGAGCUCGAGGAGGACGACGAGGGGAGCGACUCCAGCUCCGAUCUCUUCGAGCUGGAGAGCCUUGGCGGGGCGAACGGCGACGAGCUGCCCGUGUACGGCACCACCAGCCUCGUGGCCAACCGCGCCAUCGCGCACGCCACGGUUUUCUAG